AGAGUUUGAUCAUGGCUCAGAUUGAACGCUGGCGGCAGGCCUAACACAUGCAAGUCGAACGGUAACAGGAAGCAGCUUGCUGCUUCGCUGACGAGUGGCGGACGGGUGAGUAAUGUCUGGGAAACUGCCUGAUGGAGGGGGAUAACUACUGGAAACGGUAGCUAAUACCGCAUAAUGUCGCAAGACCAAAGAGGGGGACCUUCGGGCCUCUUGCCAUCGGAUGUGCCCAGAUGGGAUUAGCUUGUUGAUGGGGUAACGGCUCACCAAGGCGACGAUCCCUAGCUGGUCUGAGAGGAUGACCAGCCACACUGGAACUGAGACACGGUCCAGACUCCUACGGGAGGCAGCAGUGGGGAAUAUUGCACAAUGGGCGCAAGCCUGAUGCAGCCAUGCCGCGUGUAUGAAGAAGGCCUUCGGGUUGUAAAGUACUUUCAGCGGGGAGGAAGGGAGUAAAGUUAAUACCUUUGCUCAUUGACGUUACCCGCAGAAGAAGCACCGGCUAACUCCGUGCCAGCAGCCGCGGUAAUACGGAGGGUGCAAGCGUUAAUCGGAAUUACUGGGCGUAAAGCGCACGCAGGCGGUUUGUUAAGUCAGAUGUGAAAUCCCCGGGCUCAACCUGGGAACUGCAUCUGAUACUGGCAAGCUUGAGUCUCGUAGAGGGGGGUAGAAUUCCAGGUGUAGCGGUGAAAUGCGUAGAGAUCUGGAGGAAUACCGGUGGCGAAGGCGGCCCCCUGGACGAAGACUGACGCUCAGGUGCGAAAGCGUGGGGAGCAAACAGGAUUAGAUACCCUGGUAGUCCACGCCGUAAACGAUGUCGACUUGGAGGUUGUGCCCUUGAGGCGUGGCUUCCGGAGCUAACGCGUUAAGUCGACCGCCUGGGGAGUACGGCCGCAAGGUUAAAACUCAAAUGAAUUGACGGGGGCCCGCACAAGCGGUGGAGCAUGUGGUUUAAUUCGAUGCAACGCGAAGAACCUUACCUGGUCUUGACAUCCACGGAAGUUUUCAGAGAUGAGAAUGUGCCUUCGGGAACCGUGAGACAGGUGCUGCAUGGCUGUCGUCAGCUCGUGUUGUGAAAUGUUGGGUUAAGUCCCGCAACGAGCGCAACCCUUAUCCUUUGUUGCCAGCGGUCCGGCCGGGAACUCAAAGGAGACUGCCAGUGAUAAACUGGAGGAAGGUGGGGAUGACGUCAAGUCAUCAUGGCCCUUACGACCAGGGCUACACACGUGCUACAAUGGCGCAUACAAAGAGAAGCGACCUCGCGAGAGCAAGCGGACCUCAUAAAGUGCGUCGUAGUCCGGAUUGGAGUCUGCAACUCGACUCCAUGAAGUCGGAAUCGCUAGUAAUCGUGGAUCAGAAUGCCACGGUGAAUACGUUCCCGGGCCUUGUACACACCGCCCGUCACACCAUGGGAGUGGGUUGCAAAAGAAGUAGGUAGCUUAACCUUCGGGAGGGCGCUUACCACUUUGUGAUUCAUGACUGGGGUGAAGUCGUAACAAGGUAACCGUAGGGGAACCUGCGGUUGGAUCACCU
rnacentral:rRNA from 1 species